AGCUGACUUGCCCCAAGGAUGAAGUGAGUCACUGGGGAGCCAGGCUCACACUUCCUCCUUCCUCCGGGCUUUGAUCUCAGCUCUCCGGAGGGAGGCGCAGCCUGGAUUCCUGGGUGCGGCCCUCCUCCUCGCGGGCCCAGACUGGGGUGCCCGCCGUCUGCACCUCCAACUCCUCCACACACCCUUUCUGAGGCCCUGGAAGUCCAAGAAAAGCUGCGAAGUCAUCAGUGAUUAUUGAAGUUUACGCUUGAGAAACCAGGGUAAAGUCUGCUUUGUUCCAUCUCUAACCACUGCAUGACUCCCUGAAUCGCCUCCGACGACUGUCCAGUCCAAUCAAGCUUCUGCCCACUCUGCUCCACCAAAACUGCUUGUGUCAAGAUCACCAAGGACCUCCAGGUUGCUCCAAGGGUCAGUUCUCAGGCCUCAUCGUAACCUCUCAGCAGCAUUCCACAGUGAAUCAUUGCCUCCUUCAAAUACUUUCUUCACCUGACUUCUGGGACACUGCUCCUCUCUUGGUUUUCCUCCUACCUAAUUGGUUUGUUCCUACUCAGGUUGCUCUGCAAGUUCCUUUCGUCAGAGAUCUCUUAAGUGAGAAGUGCCUCAGGGCUUUCCUGGGUCUUUCCUUCUACAUCAACACUGACUCCCUCAGUGAUGUCAUUCAGUUUCAGACUUUGAAUGCCAUUUAUAUGCUGACAACUCCCUGAUAUACUCACAUGAGAUUAUGUAUUACAGAUAUAAUACAUGUCUUCAGAACUUCCUCCUGAACUACUCAUAUCGAACAGCCUAUCUAAUGUUUCUGCUUGAAUUAUCUAAUAAAUACUUCAAAUUGAACACGUCCAAAACCAAACUCUUAAUAUUCGCCUGGAAAAUAGUUCUAUCCAGUGUUCCCUAUUUCAGUUGAUUGCAGCUUGAUCUUCCUAGUUGUCCAGGUUAAAAACCUCAGGCUCAUCCUUGACUCCUCUUUUUAUCAACUCUAUAUUCAAUCCACCAAAAAGUCCUCUUGAAUUUACCUUCUGAAUGUAUCCAGGAUCCCUUAGUCAUUGAAGUUCCCAUUUUUCAUUUGGAUUACUGAAAAGAGCCUCCUUCUGGGCUCCUGCUUCUAUCCUUGGUCUCUUAUUCUCAAUACUUCUCAAAACCUAAGUCAUAUCAUGCAACACCUCCACACCAAGUUAAAGCCAAAGCCUAUGGCCUACCAGGUUCUACAGAUCUGCCUCCUACUCUCCUUCCUCCUGGGUGUACAUCAUCUCUUGUACUCUCCCUCUUGCUCAUAGUUUCAGCCACACUGGUUUCUUGCUAUUUUUCAUGUGCCAGUCAUGCACCUAACUGAUGGCCUUUGCACUUGCUGUGCCCUCUCCCUGGAGACUUUUCCCUAGAUAUCCGCAGAGUUUGCGCCCUUAGCUCCUUCAAGUUUUUUUUUUUUUUAAUAUUAUA